AGUAAUGCAUAGGAACGUGCCUACAGGUGGGGAAUAACCACUGGAAACGGUGGCUAAUACCGCAUACCUACGUAAGUAGAAAUGUGCCCUCUUCUUGAAAGGUACAGCCUGUAGAGCGGCCUAUGUCCCAUUAGCUAGUUGGCGGGGUAAUGGCCCACCAAGGCGACGAUGGGUAGCUGGUCUGAGAGGACGAUCAGCCACACUGGGACUGAGACACGGCCCAG
rnacentral:rRNA from 1 species